UAUCUUGUCUUGUAUCAAUCGUACCUCCGUAAUUUUCCAGAGGGGGUACUCAUUGGCUCUUCUCCUUCCACCUGUUAACAUUCUUGAAUCUUCCCACUUUUACUCCACUUCCCUAAAAGUGUACCUCAUCAUCCUCCACAAUGUUUUAGCUAAAUUGUACCUCCACCUUCACUAUCUCUAUCUUCACCAUCUGCGACGACAACGGCAGCGGCGCCAUCAUCAUCAUCAUCAUCAUCGUGGAUUCAUUUGAGAUCAAUCUAUUUGUUGUUGCUCACUCUUCACCAACUUACUGUUCUUCCUCUUCCUCCGAUCGGUUUCAAAAAGUGGAAAUUCCUCUAGGUGCAAAAAAGAGCACACUGCUUCGAUUAUUAAUUUAGGAUUAGAUACGGUGGGAGUGAAAAUGGCAAGGAAUGGAGCUAUAGAGGUUGACGAGUAUUCUCGUACAUCAGUGCCAUCAAUUUGGGCAGUUGGAGAUGUUACUGAUAGAAUUAAUUUCUCCAGUUGAUUUGAUGGAGGGAGGAGCAUUGGCAAAAACUAUUUUUGCUGGUGAACCCACAAAACCCAAUUAUAGGAAUGUACCAUGUGCUGUAUUUUCCCACCCACCUAUUGGGAUAGUUGGUCUGAUAGAAGAACAG